UGGAGAGCCUAGCGCAUGGUGCUAUACUUGAGAAAACCCAAAUGUUUCAUUAUGACAUAAUAAUGACAUCAGUAGAUACAUGGUGGUCAUAUUCUCAUUCUGCCAAAUCUUUGACUGUUUUGUUACUGUUGUUUUUUAAGGCAAACUCUUGCUCUGUCACCCAGGAUAGAGUACACAGUGUCACGAUCACAGCUCACUGCAGCCUCAAGUUCCUAGGCUCAAGCAAUCCUCCCACCUCAGCCUUCUGAGUAGCUAGGACCAGAGGCUCAUGCCACUAUACCCAGGCAAGGACACAACAUUUAUCCACUAUGCAGGAUGCAACAACAGGGCACCAUCUUGGAAGCAGGGAGCAGCCCACACCAGACAUCAGACCUUGGACUUUCCAGCCUCCACAACUGUGAGAAAUAAUUUUCUAUUAUUUACAAACUAUCCAGUUUCAUCCAUUUUAUUAUAGCAGCAUAAAUGGAUGUAUG
rnacentral:lncRNA from 10 species